CCAAUAGCGUAUAUUAAAGUUGUUGCAGUUAAAAAGCUCGUAGUUGAAUUUCGAGAUCAAUAUGUUGGUCGUGCCAUUGGUACGUACUGGCAUUAUUGGUUUCUACCUUCUGAAGAACCUCGAUGUCAUUAAUUUGGUGUCUUGGGGAAUCAGGACUGUUACUUUGAAAAAAUUAGAGUGUUUAAAGCAGGCUUUAGCUUGAAUACAUUAGCAUGGAAUAAUGAAAUAGGACGUUCGAACCUAUUUUGUUGGUUUCUAGGAUCAACGUAAUGAUUAAUAGGGAUAGUUGGGGGCAUUAGUAUUCAAUUGUCAGAGGUGAAAUUCUUGGAUUUAUUGAAGACUAACUACUGCGAAAGCAUUUGCCAAGGAUGUUUUCAUUAAUCAAGGACGAAAGUUAGGGGAUCGAAGACGAUCAGAUACCGUCGUAGUCUUAACCAUAAACUAUGCCGACUAGGGAUCGGAUGAUGUUAAUUUUUUAAUGACUCAUUCGGCGCCUUACG
rnacentral:rRNA from 1 species